UGGAGAUAAGUAUAAACUGAAGUUUCUAUUGUUGUCCUCUCUUUUCUCUUUGCCAGUUUCUUUGACCUUCACUGCUGUUCUUUACAGAUAAACAGGGUGAAUGAAGUUGAUUCCAGUUCAAAAAGUGCUCCAAUAAUUAAUUGUUCAGCAUGUUUUGCAGGAUGAAUUUCAGAGGUAAUGUUAUCAUUCAUUUAAUGUGUAUAUAGAUAAAAUUUUCCAGAACAUCUUCCCCUCUGAUGUUUGCAAAUUGUUUCUCUUCCGUUGCUGCAUUGUACUCAAGCUUUUAACAUCUUUCCCUCUGAUCUUUGGUACCAUUCCCAUUUGCAUCAAACUGAAGCUUCUAACAUCUCUGUUCAGAUGGGAUGUGCAGCUAGCAGAACAGACAUUGCCAUCGAAACAGACUGUCCGGUGACAGACUUCAAGCCGGAUAAGUUUUGCUCGAGAAGAUUUGUUGUUUCUGUAGUUUGGAUUUGAUCAACGAAUCUUUGAUCUAAAGAGAUAUUUGAUCUGUACAUAUAAUGAUAAAAAGUUGCAGCUUUUUAUUACGGUUGACGUUAGCAUAAUGAUGAAUGUUGUAAAUAUAUGAUUGCAAGGCAAGAUAUGAUUUGGUCUAAAAAAA
rnacentral:lncRNA from 1 species